UGGACUGUAGCCCACCAGCCUCCUCUGUCCGUGGGAUUCUCCAGGCAAGUAGUAGGGAUUCCCUUGUGGUCUGGUGGAUAAGAAUCUGCCUGCCAAUGCAGGGAACGUGGGUUUGACCCCUGGUCUGGGAAGAUCCCACAUGCUGCGAAGCAACUAAAGCCAAUCACCACAACUGCUGAGCCUGCAUUCUAGAGCCUGGAAGCCACAACUACCGAAGCCCUCCUGCUGCAACUACUGAAGCCCCAACGCCCAAGAGCCGGUGCUCCACGACCAGAGAAGCCCGUGCACCAAGAGCAGCCUCCACUCUCCGCGACUAGGGAAGGCCCGCUCACAGCAGUGAACACUCAGCACAACCAAAAAUACAUAAGUAAAUUAGUUAUCUUAAAAAAGAAAUCUCAUCUACAGAAGAGAGAGGUGGAAAUCAAUUAUUCCCUCAGAAAUUAUUCUCACAGGUUCGCCACAAACAAAAUGCCUCCUGUUUGUUGAGUGAAUAAAUGGCCAUACACACUGCUAAGA